rnacentral:rRNA from 1 species
GACGAACGCUGGCGGCGUGCUUAACACAUGCAAGUCGAACGAUGAAGCCGGAGCUUGCUCUGGUGGAUUAGUGGCGAACGGGUGAGUAACACGUGAGUAACCUGCCCUUGACUCUGGGAUAAGCGUUGGAAACGACGUCUAAUACCGGAUACGAGCUAGGACCGCAUGGCCACUAGCUGGAAAGAACUUCGGUCAAGGAUGGACUCGCGGCCUAUCAGUUAGUUGGUGAGGUAACGGCUCACCAAGACGACGACGGGUAGCCGGCCUGAGAGGGUGACCGGCCACACUGGGAAUGAGACACGGCCCAGACUCCUACGGGAGGCAGCAGUGGGGAAUAUUGCACAAUGGGCGCAAGCCUGAUGCAGCAACGCCGCGUGAGGGACGACGGCCUUCGGGUUGUAAACCUCUUUUAGCAGGGAAGAAGCGCAAGUGACGGUACCUGCAGAAAAAGCACCGGCUAACUACGUGCCAGCAGCCGCGGUAAAAC